rnacentral:rRNA from 1 species
ACUAAGCGUACACGGUGGAUGCCCUGGCAGUCAGAGGCGAUGAAGGACGUGCUAAUCUGCGAUAAGCGUCGGUAAGGUGAUAUGAACCGUUAUAACCGGCGAUUUCCGAAUGGGGAAACCCAGUGUGUUUCGACACACUAUCAUUAACUGAAUCCAUAGGUUAAUGAGGCGAACCGGGGGAACUGAAACAUCUAAGUACCCCGAGGAAAAGAAAUCAACCGAGAUUCCCCCAGUAGCGGCGAGCGAACGGGGAGCAGCCCAGAGCCUGAAUCAGUGUGUGUGUUAGUGGAAGCGUCUGGAAAGGCGCGCGAUACAGGGUGACAGCCCCGUACACAAAAAUGCACAUAUUGUGAGCUCGAUGAGUAGGGCGGGACACGUGGUAUCCUGUCUGAAUAUGGGGGACCAUCCUCCAAGGCUAAAUACUCCUGACUGACCGAUAGUGAACCAGUACCGUGAGGGAAAGGCGAAAAGAACCCCGGCGAGGGGAGUGAAAAAGAACCUGAAACCGUGUACGUACAAGCAGUGGGAGCACGCUUAGGCGUGUGACUGCGUACCUUUUGUAUAAUGGGUCAGCGACUUAUAUUCUGUAGCAAGGUUAACCGAAUAGGGGAGCCGAAGGGAAACCGAGUCUUAACUGGGCGUUAAGUUGCAGGGUAUAGACCCGAAACCCGGUGAUCUAGCCAUGGGCAGGUUGAAGGUUGGGUAACACUAACUGGAGGACCGAACCGACUAAUGUUGAAAAAUUAGCGGAUGACUUGUGGCUGGGGGUGAAAGGCCAAUCAAACCGGGAGAUAGCUGGUUCUCCCCGAAAGCUAUUUAGGUAGCGCCUCGUGAAUUCAUCUCCGGGGGUAGAGCACUGUUUCGGCAAGGGGGUCAUCCCGACUUACCAACCCGAUGCAAACUGCGAAUACCGGAGAAUGUUAUCACGGGAGACACACGGCGGGUGCUAACGUCCGUCGUGAAGAGGGAAACAACCCAGACCGCCAGCUAAGGUCCCAAAGUCAUGGUUAAGUGGGAAACGAUGUGGGAAGGCCCAGACAGCCAGGAUGUUGGCUUAGAAGCAGCCAUCAUUUAAAGAAAGCGUAAUAGCUCACUGGUCGAGUCGGCCUGCGCGGAAGAUGUAACGGGGCUAAACCAUGCACCGAAGCUGCGGCAGCGACGCUUAUGCGUUGUUGGGUAGGGGAGCGUUCUGUAAGCCUGCGAAGGUGUGCUGUGAGGCAUGCUGGAGGUAUCAGAAGUGCGAAUGCUGACAUAAGUAACGAUAAAGCGGGUGAAAAGCCCGCUCGCCGGAAGACCAAGGGUUCCUGUCCAACGUUAAUCGGGGCAGGGUGAGUCGACCCCUAAGGCGAGGCCGAAAGGCGUAGUCGAUGGGAAACAGGUUAAUAUUCCUGUACUUGGUGUUACUGCGAAGGGGGGACGGAGAAGGCUAUGUUGGCCGGGCGACGGUUGUCCCGGUUUAAGCGUGUAGGCUGGUUUUCCAGGCAAAUCCGGAAAAUCAAGGCUGAGGCGUGAUGACGAGGCACUACGGUGCUGAAGCAACAAAUGCCCUGCUUCCAGGAAAAGCCUCUAAGCAUCAGGUAACAUCAAAUCGUACCCCAAACCGACACAGGUGGUCAGGUAGAGAAUACCAAGGCGCUUGAGAGAACUCGGGUGAAGGAACUAGGCAAAAUGGUGCCGUAACUUCGGGAGAAGGCACGCUGAUAUGUAGGUGAAGUCCCUUGCGGAUGGAGCUGAAAUCAGUCGAAGAUACCAGCUGGCUGCAACUGUUUAUUAAAAACACAGCACUGUGCAAACACGAAAGUGGACGUAUACGGUGUGACGCCUGCCCGGUGCCGGAAGGUUAAUUGAUGGGGUCAGCGCAAGCGAAGCUCUUGAUCGAAGCCCCGGUAAACGGCGGCCGUAACUAUAACGGUCCUAAGGUAGCGAAAUUCCUUGUCGGGUAAGUUCCGACCUGCACGAAUGGCGUAAUGAUGGCCAGGCUGUCUCCACCCGAGACUCAGUGAAAUUGAACUCGCUGUGAAGAUGCAGUGUACCCGCGGCAAGACGGAAAGACCCCGUGAACCUUUACUAUAGCUUGACACUGAACAUUGAGCCUUGAUGUGUAGGAUAGGUGGGAGGCUUAGAAGUGUGGACGCCAGUCUGCAUGGAGCCGACCUUGAAAUACCACCCUUUAAUGUUUGAUGUUCUAACGUUGACCCGUAAUCCGGGUUGCGGACAGUGUCUGGUGGGUAGUUUGACUGGGGCGGUCUCCUCCUAAAGAGUAACGGAGGAGCACGAAGGUUGGCUAAUCCUGGUCGGACAUCAGGAGGUUAGUGCAAUGGCAUAAGCCAGCUUGACUGCGAGCGUGACGGCGCGAGCAGGUGCGAAAGCAGGUCAUAGUGAUCCGGUGGUUCUGAAUGGAAGGGCCAUCGCUCAACGGAUAAAAGGUACUCCGGGGAUAACAGGCUGAUACCGCCCAAGAGUUCAUAUCGACGGCGGUGUUUGGCACCUCGAUGUCGGCUCAUCACAUCCUGGGGCUGAAGUAGGUCCCAAGGGUAUGGCUGUUCGCCAUUUAAAGUGGUACGCGAGCUGGGUUUAGAACGUCGUGAGACAGUUCGGUCCCUAUCUGCCGUGGGCGCUGGAGAACUGAGGGGGGCUGCUCCUAGUACGAGAGGACCGGAGUGGACGCAUCACUGGUGUUCGGGUUGUCAUGCCAAUGGCACUGCCCGGUAGCUAAAUGCGGAAGAGAUAAGUGCUGAAAGCAUCUAAGCACGAAACUUGCCCGAGAUGAGUUCUCCCUGACUCCUUGAGAGUCCUGAAGGAACGUUGAAGACGACGACGUUGAUAGGCCGGGUGUGUAAGCGCAGCGAUGCGUUGAGCUAACCGGUACUAAUGAACCGUGAGGCUUAACC